rnacentral:rRNA from 1 species
CACGUAGGGCGCAAGCGUUGUCCGGAAUUAUUGGGCGUAAAGAGCUCGUAGGCGGUCUGUUGCGUCUGCUGUGAAAAUCCGAGGCUCAACCUCGGACUUGCAGUGGGUACGGGCAGACUAGAGUGUGGUAGGGGAGACUGGAAUUCCUGGUGUAGCGGUGGAAUGCGCAGAUAUCAGGAGGAACACCGAUGGCGAAGGCAGGUCUCUGGGCCAUUACUGACACUGAGAAGCGAAAGCAUGGGGAGCGAACAGG